AACGAACGCUGGCGGCAUGCCUAACACAUGCAAGUCGAACGAGACCUUCGGGUCUAGUGGCGCACGGGUGCGUAACGCGUGGGAACCUGCCCUUAGGUUCGGAAUAACUCCCCGAAAGGGGUGCUAAUACCGGAUAAUGUCUUCGGACCAAAGAUUUAUCGCCUUUGGAUGGGCCCGCGUUGGAUUAGCUAGUUGGUAGGGUAAAAGUCUACCAAGGCGACGAUCCAUAGCUGGUCUGAGAGGAUGAUCAGCCACACUGGGACUGAGACACGGCCCAGACUCCUACGGGAGGCAGCAGUGGGGAAUAUUGGACAAUGGGCGAAAGCCUGAUCAAGCAAUGCCGCGUGAGUGAUGAAGGCCUUAGGGUUGUAAAGCUCUUUUACCCGGGAUGAUAAUGACAGUACCGGGAGAAUAAGCUCCGGCUAACUCCGUG
rnacentral:rRNA from 1 species